rnacentral:lncRNA from 1 species
CCAAAUUAGAAUACUGCUGUACUGUAUGGGACCCCUAUACAAGCGAAAACAUACGAUCAUUAGAAAAAGUACAGAGACGAGCAGCAAGGUAUGCAUGUAGCAGACAUCACAACACCAGCAGUGUGUCUGAGAUGCUAGACACCAUGAAAUGGCAAACAUUACAAGAACGCCGGCUAAGAACAAGGCUAAUAAUGUUUCACAAAAUUACAAACGAAAAUAUUGCCAUUCCUUCACAAAAUUUAUUACAGAAGAGUCAGUCCGUCACAAGAUCCACCAACAAAGAUGCUCACAGACAAAUCCAAUGUAACAAGGACAGCUACAAAUUUUCUUUCUUUUGUCAAACAAUUAAAGACUGGAGCAAAUUAUCCUCAGUCAUAACAAAAAACACUACCACAGAAACCUUCAAGGAUGCACUCACGCACAAUGUGCUCCUUGAUACAUAUCCACACCUGAAGUAAUCAGGCAAUCAUGUUUUUAUCUUAAAUUAAAAAUAAAAAAUAAAAAAUGUAAUAUUUAAAAAAUCUAAAUAAAAACGAAAAAUCAAAAAACAAAGAAAAAUUGUAAAAAUUAAUAAUAUAACAAAUAUAUAUACAAAAAUAUGGAAUACAUCUAUGUUAAACUAUAUUUAUAAAUACAUAAAUUUGAAAAAUUUUACCAGGCAUGCGCCGGAAAGUAAACAUCAGUAUGUUGAUGGUUUUCUGAAACUAAAGAAAAAA